rnacentral:rRNA from 1 species
UACGUAGGGACCAAGCGUUGUUCGGAUUUACUGGGCGUAAAGGGCGCGUAGGCGGCAAAUUAAGUCAUCUGUGAAAUCUCCGAGCUUAACUCGGAACGGUCAGGCGAUACUGAUCUGCUAGAGUGCGGAAGGGGCAAUCGGAAUUCUUGGUGUAGCGGUGAAAUGCGUAGAUAUCAAGAGGAACACCUGAGGUGAAGACGGGUUGCUGGGCCGACACUGACGCUGACAGCGCGAAAGCCAGGGGAGCAAACGGG